rnacentral:sRNA from 1 species
GGCCUCUCAAGAGUGCAGGCGCUGUGGGGCGUCAGCUGGACAAAAGCUGACCCGACUUCAUUUAUCUGCCUCGACCCCGACCCCGGCUGGUAGACAGCACUCCUGAUGCACGGGACGAGGGAGCAGCACGAGCAAAGGCCCUGAAACAGGAGGGAGAGCGGGCCAUCCAUCAAUGCUGGUGAGCUGAGCUUAGCUGAGAAGCCAGCCUGGCACGGAGCGCUGCCCCUCCUGCUGGUCCCAGAUCCGUUCUGUCCGGAGGAGAAUUUCUUAUUCCCAGGAGAUGCCUGGCCUCGUUAGGAGCCUCCUCACCCGCCCGCCCGCACCAACCCUCUGACUCCCUCCACCUCACCGCCUGGGGACAACAGGAAGAGAGCAGGACAGCAGCAGAAGGGAGUGCUGCUUAUGUGGCUCUUCUCAGAAUCAGGAGGCUCCCAGGCCAGGAAUGUGAAACCAUUUUGCAGAUGAAGAAGAUGAAGCCCGAGAGGUUAUGAAACAGACCCAAGUGGGCUCGCUCUUCAGUCUCGGCAUCAGGAAUCCGGAACCUGGGCCCGUGUCCGGAACUGCUGUGCCCAGGCAGCCUGCCUGGAAAUCAGGUAGCGUGGGGGGACCCCAAAAUCCCCCUGUGACAGACCACGAAUCUGCCGUGUUUGUGCACCUCUGUUUUGCUUCC